rnacentral:rRNA from 1 species
CCUACGGGUGGCAGCAGUGAGGAAUAUUGGUCAAUGGGCGCAAGCCUGAACCAGCCAAGUAGCGUGAAGGAUGACUGCCCUACGGGUUGUAAACUUCUUUUAUAAAGGAAUAAAGUGAGCCACGUGUGCAUUUUUGCAUGUACUUUAUGAAUAAGGAUCGGCUAACUUCGUGCCAGCAGCCGCGGUAAUACGGAGGAUGCGAGCGUUAUCCGGAUUUAUUGGGUUUAAAGGGCGCGUAGAUGGGUUGUUAAGUCAGUUGUGAAAGUUUGCGGCUCAACCGUAAAAUUGCAAUUGAUACUGGCAGUCUUGAGUACAGUUGAGGUAGGCGGAAUUCGUGGUGUAGCGGUGAAAUGCGUAGAUAUCACGAAGAACUCCGAUUGCGAAGGCAGCUUACUAAACUGCCACUGACAUUGAUGCUCGAAAGUGUGGGUAGCAAACAGGAUUAGAUACCCUGGUAGUC